GCUCUUGUGGCGCAAUCGGCUAGAGCGUUCGGCUGUAAACCGAAAGGUUGGUGGUUCAAGCCCACCCAGGAGCG